CCUACGGGAGGCAGCAGUGGGGAAUAUUGCGCAAUGGGCGAAAGCCUGACGCAGCGACGCCGCGUGAGGGAUGAAGGUCUUCGGAUUGUAAACCUCUUUCAGCAGGGACGAAGCGAAAGUGACGGUACCUGAAGAAGAAGCACCGGCUAACUACGUGCCAGCAGCCGCGGUAAU
rnacentral:rRNA from 1 species